rnacentral:rRNA from 1 species
UGGGGAAUAUUGCGCAAUGGGCGAAAGCCUGACGCAGCGACGCCGCGUGAGGGAUGAAGGUCUUCGGAUCGUAAACCUCUGUCAGAAGGGAAGAACGGCCACCGUGCUAAUCAGCGGUGGAAUGACGGUACCUUCAAAGGAAGCACCGGCUAACUCCGUGCCAGCAGCCGCGGUAAUACGGAGGGUGCAAGCGUUAAUCGGAAUUACUGGGCGUAAAGCGCAUGUAGGCUGUACGGCAAGUUGGAGGUGAAAUCCCACGGCUCAACCGUGGAACUGCCUUCAAAACUACCGAACUGGAGUGCGAGAGAGGAUAGCGGAAUUCCAGGUGUAGGAGUGAAAUCCGUAGAUAUCUGGAAGAACAUCAGUGGCGAAGGCGGCUAUCUGGCUCGUAACUGACGCUGAGAUGCGAAAGCGUGGGUAGCAAACAGG